rnacentral:rRNA from 1 species
GACGAACGCUGGCGGCGUGCCUAACACAUGCAAGUUGAGCGACGAACCAGGGCUUGCCCUGGGGCAAAGCAGCGAACGGGUGAGUAACACGUGGGUAACCUACCCCGAUAACCGGGACAACCCGAGGAAACUCGGGCUAAUACCGGAUGUGCUCACUGGACUUCGGUUCAGUGCGUAAAGGAAGCUUCGGCCUCCGUAUCGGGAGGGGCCCGCGGCCCAUUAGUUUGUUGGUGGGGUAACGGCUCACCAAGACCGCGAUGGGUAGCUGGUCUGGGGGGACGAUCAGCAACACUGGGACUGAGACACGGCCCAGACUCCUACGGGAGGCAGCAGUGGGGAAUCUUGCGCAAAGCGCGAAAGCGGGACGCAGCAACGCCGCGUGGGGGAAGAAGGCCUUCGGGUUGUAAACCCCGUUCAGGAGGGACGAAGGUUCGGCGGUGAAUAGCCGUCCGGACUGACGGUACCUCCACAAGAAGCCCCGGCUAACUACGUG